rnacentral:lncRNA from 1 species
ACACCCCUCUCCCGCUUAUCACUUUAUUUUUUGAUUUUAAUUGUAGAAUUUACUUUUUUUUUUUUUCCCCCCAGAUCCUGGAACAGAGCGAACUUGUGCAGAAAACAUUUGUGAACAUAACUGUACCAACCUGAAUGAAGGAGGCUUUAUCUGUUCCUGUAGGCCAGGGUACAAGGCCAGGGAAACUAACCGAAACUCCUGUGAUGAUAUCAAUGAAUGUGAGAUCUUUGGAACAUGCACCCAGGACUGCAAGAAUUCCAAAGGAAGCUAUGAAUGUUUCUGUGCAGAUGGCUUCAGGUCUGUGGGUGAUCAACAAGGGAAACAGUGCGCAGCUAAUGGUAAUCCUCCAUUGCUACUGCUGCCAGAUAAUGUGCGGAUUCGAAGAUACAAUAUCUCAUCAGAACAGUACUCUGACUAUAUUGAUAACCAGGAGCGCAUCCAAGCUCUGGAUUAUGACUGGGAUCCUGAAGGGAUAGGCCUGAGUGAGUAUGUGUAGAACAUUAAUACUCAACCAUGCAAUGGUUGGUUUAAAAAGAUGCAUUUCUGCAGCACAGGUAUUUUAUUUAGGCUAGAAAUCAAAAUCAAAUUAUGUUAACUGGCCAGGUCUUGGUUGAUUGUGUCCCUCCCCUCUACUCACUCUUCAGCAUC